AUGACUACUAGCGGCACCCCGUGCGUUCGCAUCGCCGCGCCCAGCCUCCACGGCUCCGCGCGUCCGCGCCCCGCCCUCCGCGUCGCGCUGCUCCACUCUGCUGCCGUGCGGAUGCCCGCGUCCGACCAGCACCGCCUCAAGCUCGUCCCGCUGCUCCGCAUAUCCCCUCCACCUAGAGCCGCACCUGGCCGUCCGCGCUUGCAGCGAGCUGCCAUCGACUCUGACCUCCGGCCGCGUCGCCUCCCACCGUCCCCACUGGCCGCGCCUUGCGCGCUACCGCGGCUAGGCUGCGACGCGGCCUCUGUGCCACGCCCGUCCAGCUCUGGACAACCCGCGUGCCGGCUGCUCCGUGCCCGGCUCCCGCCACUCGGCCUGCUCGGUACGGCUCCACCUCCUCCCCGUAGCGGCGUCUCCCUCCGCUCCCCUGCACCUGCGUCCGCCCGUGUGUGGCUCCGCGUCCUCGCUCAUGGGCAGGGUCCCGCCUCGGUUGGCCGCGCCCCCGCACCGUCUUACCGCAGCCGGCUGCGCCUCCUCCCCCCCGUCUCCGGGUGGCCGCCCCGCGCAAGUCGGCUCCGUCGACCGGCUCCGCCUCACCUCGCACCGGCCGGAUCUCCUCCUGACCGUUUGGACGCGCCCGACCGACUUCACACCAUCCGGCCGCGCCUGGCCUCCCCUUCGCGCGCCCGCGGCGUACCGGCUCCCGUGCGGGUUCCGCACCCGACCCCCGACCCGUUGUUCUGGCCGCCUGCCGGCUUCGGGCGGGCCGGCUGCUUGUUCCGGUCCGGCUCCCCCAGCACCUGCCGGCUUGCCGCCUGCGCCCACAGGGCCGGGUCCAUCUCCUUCUGCGUCGCGCUGGAUCCGGCUGCCCCUGUGUGCCCGCGGCUCCGCUCGGCCGCGUCGCUUCGCCCGAGGCGGCUUUGA
rnacentral:rRNA from 1 species